rnacentral:lncRNA from 1 species
AAUCUUCAUCCCAUAAAGAUAUACGAAUUGCUGCUCUUCAAGCUGCUAAAUUUGCACCACCAUUAAUGGAAUUAUCUCCUCGUUCUUCCUCUAAUAAUUCACUGAAUUCUUCGAAUCUAUCGAGGGAAAAUCUCAAAAUAGAACCUCCCAAUACGUGGGCUGAUUCAUCCAAUAUUGAAAUCGAGUUCUUGGACGAGGAAGCGAUGUUUAACAUGCCAGGAUUGCUCGACAGCAUGGCGGAGGGGAUGCUUCUGACUCCACCAGCUAUGAAGAAUGGAUUUAGUUGGAGUAAUGAUGUUGAAAAUUAUAGUGAUUUCACUUUGUGGAGAGAUUGACAUACACAUUAACUCAUACGCGUUAAGUUAUUUAUGAGGGAGUUUAGUAAAAUCUAACAUUUGCAUCUAUAUUUAGCAAGACGGGUCGCUUGAGUAUCAAAACCAACCAACGUUAUUGAAUUUAGUUUGAUAGAAGAGCAAAUAUUCCUAAAUUGCACAAAUCUCACGUUUACUUAGUUGAUAAAUUGUAUUGUUUGUGAUUGUGAGCGGCGGUGUGGUUGUGAGUGUAGUGAUGGUGGAGGUAAGUUUAGGAAAGGUUGGGUGUUAGGGUGUAAGAAGAUGAUCGACGUGUAGGUGGUGGUUGCUUUUGGUAGUUAGGGGUGAAAAAAGAGGGUCUCUUUGUUACUCUCUCUCUUUUUGGGUUAUUUUUUUUUUUGGUUAAAGAUAUUUGUACAAAAUUUUGUUGACAAAAUGGUAUACUCACUCUCACAAAAUUAGCGGAUCCCAUGUGAAUUUAAAAAAUAUCGGCCUGUGGUCCCUAUCCUUAUUGUGAGUAAUGAGUUGAGUUUGUAAAAAAAAGUUUGUACAUGUAGCAUGAUAUUUUUCUCUAUUUCUUACGGCAUUGGCCCUGCGGGGUGGAGCCGCCGCCUUGAACUUCAAUGACUCUGCUUGGUGCCUCCCCAGGGCCAAAUCUUCAUCCCAUAAAGAUAUACGAAUUGCUGCUCUUCAAGCUGCUAAAUUUGCACCACCAUUAAUGGAAUUAUCUCCUCGUUCUUCCUCUAAUAAUUCACUGAAUUCUUCGAAUCUAUCGAGGGAAAAUCUCAAAAUAGAACCUCCCAAUACGUGGGCUGAUUCAUCCAAUAUUGAAAUCGAGUUCUUGGACGAGGAAGCGAUGUUUAACAUGCCAGGAUUGCUCGACAGCAUGGCGGAGGGGAUGCUUCUGACUCCACCAGCUAUGAAGAAUGGAUUUA